rnacentral:rRNA from 1 species
UAUCUCUGUAGAGUCUGCAUAUCAAUAAGCGGAGGAAAAGAAACUAACAAGGAUUCCCUUAGUAACGGCGAGUGAAGCGGGAAGAGCUCAAAUUUGAAAUCUUCGAGGUUCUACCUUGACGAAUUGUAGUUUAAAGAAGUGUUUUCUGUUAGAUGAGUAGGCAAAAGUUCCUUGGAAUAGGGACAUCAUAGAGGGUGAGAAUCCCGUAUUUGGUUAUUCAUUCUAGCUGUGUGAUACACUUUCAAAGAGUCGGAUUGUUUGGGAAUGCAGUCCAAAAUGGGUGGUAAAUUUCAUCUAAAGCUAAAUAUUGGCGAGAGACCGAUAGCGAACAAGUACCGUGAGGGAAAGAUGAAAAGAACUUUGAAAAGAGAGUUAAACAGUACGUGAAAUUGUCAAAAGGGAAGCGUUUGACACCAGUGUUGUUUUUCUCGAAAAUCAAUUAACGAAUGGCUUGAUUUUGUGUUGUAUUGACCUUAUCAAGCUUUCUUCACUUUUUUCGAGUCUUUCUUAAUGCACUUUUCGUUUAACAAGUCAACAUCAGUUUCUUUUGUUGUAAAAAGAGUAUUCGGAAGGUGGCUUUCUUUUCGGAGAAAGUGUUUAUAGCCCUAUGACUUCCUGACAAUCGGAGAGAUUGAGGUCUGCAGCGUAGAUCCUUCGGGGUUAGAUACAUUUGUGCUAAGUUGUAGCUUUUCAUAGACAACUUGUUGACUAUGUUUAGUCAUGCGGCUUACUCGCUUAGUGCUAUUUUACCUACGCUUAGGAUGUUGACUGAUAUGUAGUCGUA